rnacentral:rRNA from 1 species
GACUAUUUUGCCAGUACUUCAGGAGGUUACUUCGGUGCCUUCUGUGUCUGGCGAGUUUACUUUGAAUAAAUUAAAGUGCUUAAGACAAGCGUUUGCUUGAAUAUCUUAGCUAGGAAUAAUAAAACAGGACUACGGUUCAAUUUAUUGGUUCAGAAUUCGUGGUAAUGAUUAAUAGGGACAGUUCGGGGGCAUUCGUAUUCCUGCGCGAGAGGUGAAAUUCGGUGACCGCAGGAAGACGUCCUGAAGCGAAAGCUAUUGCCAAGUCUGUCUUCUUUAAUCAAGAACGAAAGUCAGAGGUUCGAAGGCGAUUAGAUACCGCCCUAGUUCUGACCGUAAACUAUGCCAUCUCGCGAUUCGGUUAGGUAAUUUUUUGCCUAGCCGAGGAGCGUCCCGGAAACGAAAGAUUUUCGGUUCCGGGGGUAGUAUGGUUGCAAAGCUGAAACUUAAAGAAAUUGACGGAAGGGCACCACCAGGAGUGGAGCCUGCGGCUUAAUUUGACUCAACACGGGAAAACUCACCCGGUCCGGACACCGUUAGGAUUGACAGAUUGAAAGCUCUUUCUCGAUUUGGUGGUUGGUGGUGCAUGGCCGUUCUUAGUUGGUGGAGUGAUUUGUCUGGUUUAUUCCGAUAACGAGCGAGACUCUAGCCUACUAAAUAGUUGGCAGGUUAUUAAGCCUGUUUCAACUUCUUAGAGGGAUAAGCGGUGUCGAAGCCGCACGAGAUUGAGCGAUAACAGGUCUGUGAUGCCCUUAGAUGUCCGGGGCUGCACGCGCGCUACACUGGAAGACUCAACUGGUCCACCGGUGCCGAAAGGUACUGGUAAUCCGUUGAAACUCUUCCGUGACCGGGAUCGGGAAUUGUAAUUAUUUCCCUUGAACGAGGAAUUCCUAGUAAGUGUGAGUCAUCAGCUCACGCUGAUUACGUCCCUGCCCUUUGUACACACCGCCCGUCGCUGUCCGGGACUGAGCUGUUUCGAGAAGACCGAGGACUGCUAUAGUGAGGCUUCGGCUUUGCUAUAAUGGGAGCC